AUUGAACGCUGGCGGCAUGCCUUACACAUGCAAGUCGAACGGUAACAGGUCUUCGGAUGCUGACGAGUGGCGAACGGGUGAGUAAUACAUCGGAACGUGCCUAGUAGUGGGGGAUAACUACUCGAAAGAGUGGCUAAUACCGCAUGAGAUCUACGGAUGAAAGCAGGGGAUCGCAAGACCUUGUGCUACUAGAGCGGCCGAUGGCAGAUUAGGUAGUUGGUGGGAUAAAAGCUUACCAAGCCGACGAGCUGUAGCUGGUCUGAGAGGACGAUCAGCCACACUGGGACUGAGAGACGGCCCAGACUCCUACGGGAGGCAGCAGUGGGGAAUUUUGGACAAUGGGCGCAAGCCUGAUCCAGCAAUGCCGCGUGCAGGAUGAAGGCCUUCGGGUUGUAAACUGCUUUUGUACGGAACGAAAAGCCCUGGGUUAAUACCCUGGGGUCAUGACGGUACCGUAAGAAUAAGCACCGGCUAACUACGUGCCAGCAGCCGCCGUAAUAC
rnacentral:rRNA from 1 species